GGCAAAAUCGGUGCGCGCAGGCGCGGAGAGAGGGAGGGGGGAGGGGGUAAUCGGGGGUACUGGGGGUAAAGGGCGGGUAGGCGGUUAAGUGAGUGGGAUGUGAAAGCCCUGGGCUGAACCUAGGAAGUGCAUCGCAAACGACUGAACUGGAGUAUAUGAGAGGGUGGUGGAAUUUCCGGUGUAGCGGUGAAAUGCGUAGAGAUCGGAAGGAACGUCAAUGGCGAAGCAGCCACCUGGCAUAAUACUGACGCUGAGGCGCGAAAGCGUGGGGAGCGAACAGGAUUAGAUACCCCGGUAGUC
rnacentral:rRNA from 1 species